rnacentral:rRNA from 1 species
UAUGGCUCAGGAUGAACGCUAGCUACAGGCUUAACACAUGCAAGUCGAGGGGCAGCAGAUCGAAAGCUUGCUUUGAUGCUGGCGACCGGCGCACGGGUGAGUAACGCGUAUCCAACUUCCCUAUAGUAGAGAAUAGCCCGGCGAAAGUCGGAUUAAUGCUCUAUGUUGUAUUUAGAAGACAUCUGAAGAAUACCAAAGGUUUACCGCUAUAGGAUGGGGAUGCGUCUGAUUAGGUGUUGGCGGGGUAACGGCCACCAAGCCUACGAUCAGUAGGGGUUCUGAGAGGAAGGUCCCCCACAUUGGAACUGAGACACGGUCCAAACUCCUACGGGAGGCAGCAGUGAGGAAUAUUGGGUCAAUGGACGAAAGUCUGAACCAGCCAAGUAGCGUGCAGGAUGACGGCCCUAUGGGUUGUAAACUGCUUUUAUACAGGGAUAAAGUGAGGGACGUGUCCCUUUUUGUAGGUACUGUAUGAAUAAGGACCGGCUAAUUCCGUGCCAGCAGCCGC